rnacentral:rRNA from 1 species
UACGUAGGGUCCGAGCGUUGUCCGGAAUUAUUGGGCGUAAAGAGCUCGUAGGCGGUUUGUCGCGUCUGCUGUGAAAUCCCGAGGCUCAACCUCGGGUCUGCAGUGGGUACGGGCAGACUGGAGUGCGGUAGGGGAGAAUGGAAUUCCUGGUGUAGCGGUGGAAUGCGCAGAUAUCAGGAGGAACACCGAUGGCGAAGGCAGUUCUCUGGGCAUUACCUGACGCUGAGGAGCGAAAGUGUGGGGAGCGAACAGG